ensembl:lncRNA
UAUAUUGUUCGUCCAAUUUUGACAAAAUUCGUAAGAGAUCAUCUUCAGACCAUGUCGGCAAAAAUGUAUCAAAAACUUUUUGAAAAGCCAAACCGUUCUCAAAUAAUGUGUGGACGAAUUCAAUGAUGAUCAUGCCAAAAAGGAUGCGAGACUAUAUCUCCGUAAUGCAUACGGUGUGCAACUGUCUGUUUUUACUUCAUUCAGGAACUUGCUUAAAAGAUAAUAACUGGUGUAUUGGUAGUGUUACCACUUAACAGUUUCAAGCUCCUGGGUUUUAGCCUGUGUUUGGGUGGCUGUGUGGAGUUUGACUACUUUUUCCCCAAAUUUCCCUUUCAGGAUCAGUAAAGUACAUCUAUCUAUCUAAGCUUAUGUUUGUCAGUGCUAGACAAUUUCCAAAUUAGUAUCAAUCACUUGAGAAGGUGACUCAGAAAUCCGCAGUUAUACCGUCAUGGACAUUAGAGCGAUCCUGAAAAAGGUGGUCAGUUUCAUUGCCAGCCAAUCUGAGAGACCAGGACAUGUUCAAGAUUGAUAAGCUUGUGAAUAUCCUAAGGCCUGAACUGGAGAAAGAAAGAAAAAAAAAUCAAUAUCCUCUCUCUAAACAAUCGGUGUGUGUUUCUUGUUAUUUCUUCUCACCUGCCAAAAAAAAGCAUGCUGGUAGGUUUACUGGCAAGGCUAAAUUGUCCCGAGGUGUCAGUAAGUGUGUGAAUGUGUGGGCAAUGAACUGGUGUCCCAUCUGGGAUGUAUUAACACCCAGUGCUCCUAAGAUCCAGAUCCAGAUACUACAACCCUGACUCAGAAAUUACUAAAGGGAAAAAAAAAUGAAUAAACACAGAAUAAACAUUCUGACUACAGAGUCCCCUUAAAGGGAUAUUGCACCCCAAAAUGAACAUUCUGUCAUCAAUUACUCAGCCUCAUGUUGUUUCAAACCCAUAAGACUUUUGAAAAAAUUUUGAAACCUGGGAGAUUUCUGUCCCUCCAUUCACAGUCCAGUAACCAAAACUUUCAAGCACCAAAAAGUUAACAAACGAGAGAACCAUGCAUGCGUGUUGUGUUGACCCGAAAUCGGAGGAAAAAACGCAUCAUUGUUACAAAGAUUGUUCUGUGUGACUUAGUUUGUGUACAGCGUCCAUCUUCCUCUAUUGUAAAUAGUGUAUACCAAGGGACCUGGAAGCGCUGCCCUUUUUACAGCAUAGGAGGAGGGACAUGCAUGCGUUGUGGUUCUCAAGUGUACAUGCGUCGGAGAUCUAUGUGAAAGUGAAGAUGUUUUGUGAAUAAAGACUUCAUUUUAGUUUUUUUGUACACACAAAGCAUGCGCAUCACUUCAAAAAAUUGGGAUUAAACCACUGGAGUCACAUGGAUUACUUUAUGAUGCCUUUAUGAACUUUUUGGGGCUUGAACGUUUUGGUUACUUCGACUGUAAAUGGAGGGACAGAAAUCUCCCAGGUUUCAUUAAAAUGUUUUAAUUUGUGUUCCGAAGAUGAACGAAAGUCUUAUGGGUUUAGAACAACAUGGAGGCGAGUAAUUGAUGAUGACAUUUUCAUUUUUGGGUGAACUAUCCAUUUAGGGUCCACUUCUUUGUGGCUAAUGUGCAACAGAUGGGCAUUUUGUGUGGAAUGCAUCAAACAUCAUACUACAUCAUACUGUGCAGCACUUUUAUAUAGAUUGUUAAUAUUUAUUGUUCAUUGUCCCUCUUUGAACAUGUUUAGCACUUACAUUUAUCUCAUUUCAGCCAUGAUGUCAGCACCAGCGAUUCUUGGAGUCAAAUUGGGAACAGAUGGGGAUAGAGUGUAAAAGUGUACAAAGUGUACAACAAUAUAUAGUAGUAACCUGAAACGUUAGCUAUGUAAAGGGUAUUUACAUACAUUUUCUUUUCUUAAUUCUAAAGACAAACUGCCAUAACUAGUUCUGAAUGGAUAACUACAAUACGGACACAACUCACUUCCAUAUCUCUCGUUGCCAAGCUAGCACAACUCAGCAUUAUGCUGAGCCUUAUAUUCGUAAUAUCACUUAGUUGUCCUUAGCCCAAAUGUAGUGUAAACGAACGAAAUGCUGUGCAACUUUCCUCACUUUCACUUGCAUUUACAACAGUCUGUCACAACGUGAGGGUUCACAACAAACUCGGCGGGAGGAUAUGCAAGUGAAUGUAACGUUCAUAGUCAAAAACUGGACCUGACCUGCUAAAAUAUAUCAAUGAACUUGCCUUAAGUAUGGGCGCAACCAAGUGUACAAUUGGAGGGGGGCACACACCUAUUUUCCUUAAGAAACUGAAAUACAUUUAAAAAAAAAAAAAAAGAAUAGACAUAAAUAAAUAGAAUAGAUGAAGAAAAGACAGAUCGGUAUUAACUCAACAUUAGGGGGGAAACGACCCCCACAAAGAAUGCGUGGUUACGCCCAUGCAUAUCUAUAUGCAAGAUAUGCAAAAAGGUAUUGACAGGCUGGAAAAAGAUGGAAAAUCUCCCCUUACCCUGAUCCAUGGAUAAGGAAACGACAGAGAGCAGAACCACAAGCAGAAACCGACAGAGAAACAUAACGGACAAGUUCGUGUUGAAGUAAACUCCUUUAAGAAGCUCCUCCAUGCGCGUACACACACUGACGAGCCUUCUCUGCCUCAAGCCCACAAGCACACAAGCACACGCGGACACCUCUUUGCAGUGACGAACUCAGCACUUGAUCAGUGGGCUGGUCUGGCUAAAACAGGGUGGCCAAUGAUUUGUGAAAUAAACUCAAAUACCAGCAGUCACUCAACCUCAAAACAAUCUAAAUCAGUGGUUCUCAACCAGCGCAAAUUGUUUUCAGGAAAAAACACAGUCGGGGCAUAAUUUGGGUACUCGGUGUGUUUUAUUGAUUUUCAAAAAGAAUGUGCGUAAAUGAAAAACCC